GCAGCAGCCACGGUAAUACAGAGGGUGCAAGCGUUAAUCGGAAUUACUGGGCGUAAAGCGCGCGUAGGUGGUUUGUUAAGUUGGAUGUGAAAUCCCCGGGCUCAACCUGGGAACUGCAUCCAAAACUGGCAAGCUAGAGUAUGGUAGAGGGUGGUGGAAUUUCCUGUGUAGCGGUGAAAUGCGUAGAUAUAGGAAGGAACACCAGUGGCGAAGGCGACCACCUGGACUGAUACUGACACUGAGGUGCGAAAGCGUGGGGAGCAAACAGGAUUAGAUACCCCCGUAGUCCCUGUCUCUUAUAC
rnacentral:rRNA from 1 species